GCUCCCGCAUAGCCCGAUCCCGCAUAGCCCGAUCCCACCUGAGCAAGGCCCGGAUACAGUUGCGAGUUGAGAUUGGCCCGCUGGCGGUGCCGACUGCUGGUGAUGCCUCCCGUCAGAGUGGAGGCCAG
rnacentral:sRNA from 1 species